CGUGCAAACAGGGACUAGAGUGUGAGCAGCCAUGUGCUGGCAUCAGCAUGGCAGCAUGACAUGGCUCCCAAGGGCCCCACUUGUCCUCUCUAGUGAAAGUCUAAGUCAGUGCAGUCAUGCUUAUGUCUAAAACAAACACCCAUCAAGCACGUGGCUUUUAUCUUUCUAAUCACAGGAAAGCAGCCUAACGCGUGAUUGAAACUCUUCUUCGGUAAUUGAAGUUCAUCUGCUCUUGACCUAAUGCCUCAUAAUACAUUCUUGGAGCCCUCCAAAGGUGAACAGCUAAACAGAAGUGCUGAGAAUGGCAGUAGUGACUGAAAAGCAAACAGGAAUAUGUUUCAGACUCCGCAUCAGUGAUCUCCAAGUCAAAGCUGGACAACAAUGGUUCCUCCAAGAAGACACUGACCACUGGUAGUUCUUCACUCUCGUCCUUGAUUGUGUGCCACAUUUAUUACAACCAGUCUAAGACUAAAGCGAUGAUAUUUCCCCUUAAACUUCAGGUGCUGUUGUUCUUUUAUUUGAUGCUACCUAGAGAUAAUGCUCAUACCCUGGACCUUGUGAUGGCAGGCAGCAAAAACGUCUUUGUCACAGCAGCUGUCUUCAGAUUUCUGUAAUUUAAUUUUCAAUGAAUGUAGAAUAUGAUGAUUUAUUGUGAGUGCCUUUUGCAUGGGCUUACUCAAAUAUUUAUAACCUCAUUUAAAUAAUUAAUACAUGAGUUUUAAUAAACUGUUUAUAUUCACAAAAAGAAUGUAAUUUUCAGGAAGGCCUGUUCAGGUGCUAGCAACUACAGAUAGACCACAUUAAUUAAAAAUAAUGCCUUGCAUCUUGAGUUGAUAUGACCUUGUUCUAAGUAGUCAAAAGUUGUUUUCUUGGGGUGAAGAAGUGCUUCUAUUAAUCUGGUUAUGUGGUUAAACUAUGCACUGCACCGACUAUUGUAGGAAGAAAAAGAGAACGGUUUUCUAUAAGUCUGGGGACUAUCAAGAUCAACGUUUGUCCCAAGAAACAAAAUACACUGUAUUAAGCAUAUCGAUCCUAUUUAUUUAUUAAGUGUGGUUGCAAACUAUUAGCAAGAAAGAGAACAAGAUUUUAAUUCCCUAAGAUGCGUCUGUUUUUAUUACUACGUCAGGUCAGUAUUUAUUCAAACAUAAUCUAUCUAAAACAGCUUGUGACCAUCUUAAUAUAGUUAAUUGAAAUAAAAUCCUACUUAGAAAAGCAAUAACUUGAUAGGAAGCCAACUAGCUAGGACCUCAUGAGCUGGCCAGAGAACAGUGGUUUCCUUCUGUCUCUGAAGCCAAGUUAAGCACGUGGCUCUUGUAGAAUAUCUACUAGUGCAGGCCAAAGGAGAGCAGCUCUCACUUUGUCUCUUUUCUCUCCCUUUCUGUUAGGUGUUGGGGAUUUAGUUAAUCCUGAUGCAAGGAGCACACAGCGCUGAGCAGAGCUCAGAUCCCAGUGCAGAGUGGCUGCAAGGCAGAACUUCCCUGCUAGCGCUGGGCUCUCUCUGCAGUUCUCAAAAGCAAGACUGGGUUUGAUGCUAUACUUCUGCCCUACAUCCACACAGCACCUGACAACUAUUGAUUUGUUCCAGUUGAGCCAACAAUAGCAAUUACUUAUUGAGGCACAUCUCUCCAAUGCAUGUGUGGGAGAAGUCACCUUUUGUCCUGCUAUCAUUUACCCUCCUCAAAGUCCACUUAAAGCUUUCCAUGCACCACGUCACUGCACACAGAUGAGCACAAACAUCCCCAAAACAGAGCCACUGCAAGUCUGUGAUCCCCCACAUGAGCCCAAGUCUCUCUUACUCUGAGCGCCAUCCCUUGGAGAUGCCGACUGCCCUCCCUGCUCCAGGCAGGAUGAACUCAAAGUCACAUCACAAAGUCAAACACUAAAAGAGCAGGAAGAAAGGAAAGGAGGCAGAACGGUUUUUGUCUUUUCCUUUCCCCCCUCUUUGUAAGCACAAAGACAAGCUUAUAUAAGCACCACAUUUAGAAGGUGAUCACAAAUAAUUCAAACAUCAAACAAAUCCAUGCUUAUCUUGUAACUUCUGCUAUCAUAAAACCAAGGGUACUGUGCUCUAGGAACACCUCCUCUUUGCUGCACCAGAGGAAAGCACCAGUAAUCUCCAGCUCCAACAACAGAGAUAAAGGUAGCAAAUAAACCAAGGCUGAUACCAAGGAAGAAGAGGAAAGUAUUCAAAUUUCACCAGGCGCACAAUAAUUACUAAUUCACAGCAGAAAUGAUCACAGUAUUUCAUGCUUAUCCCAUGUAAUUCAUUCACAGCAGUAUUCAUUUUACUAUUAAUUUUAAUAGAAUAAUUACCUCUAUGAGGAAGAAAGAAACUACGGUUAGCAGGUCAGGUCCUCAGGUGGUGAAGAUAUGGUGAUUUAUGCUGGUUUGAUGAGUUUUGUAAUCUUCCUUUUUUUCUUCCUUUGAAAAGGAAUUUGGUAAUUGACUGGUUGCUAGACUUACUACGCUGCUAAUCUAUGCUAAAUGGAGUACAGUAAGAAGAAAUGGUGGCAAUGCUAAUGCUUAAUUAAACUAAGUUUUACACA